rnacentral:rRNA from 1 species
UGGAUCCAGACUUUGAUCCUGGCUCAGGAUGAACGCUAGCGGCAGGCUUAACACAUGCGAGUCGAGGGGCAGCAUAAUGGAUAGCAAUAUCUAUGGUGGCGACCGGCGCACGGGUGCGUAACGCGUAUGCAACCUACCUUUAACAGGGGGAUAACACUGAGAAAUUGGUACUAAUACCCCAUAAUAUCAUAGAAGGCAUCUUUUAUGGUUGAAAAUUCCGAUGGUUAGAGAUGGGCAUGCGUUGUAUUAGCUAGUUGGUGGGGUAACGGCUCACCAAGGCGACGAUACAUAGGGGGACUGAGAGGUUAACCCCCCACACUGGUACUGAGACACGGACCAGACUCCUACGGGAGGCAGCAGUGAGGAAUAUUGGUCAAUGGACGCAAGUCUGAACCAGCCAUGCCGCGUGCAGGAUGACGGCUCUAUGAGUUGUAAACUGCUUUUGUACGAGGGUAAACGCAGAUACGUGUAUCUGUCUGAAAGUAUCGUACGAAUAAGGAUCGGCUAACUCCGUGCCAGCAGCCGCGGUAAUACGGAGGAUUCAAGCGUUAUCCGGAUUUAUUGGGUUUAAAGGGUGCGUAGGCGGUUUGAUAAGUUAGAGGUGAAAUUUCGGGGCUCAACCCUGAACGUGCCUCUAAUACUGUUGAGCUAGAGAGUAGUUGCGGUAGGCGGAAUGUAUGGUGUAGCGGUGAAAUGCUUAGAGAUCAUACAGAACACCGAUUGCGAAGGCGGCUUACCAAACUAUAUCUGACGUUGAGGCACGAAAGCGUGGGGAGCAAACAGGAUUAGAUACCCUGGUAGUCCACGCAGUAAACGAUGAUAACUCGUUGUCGGCGAUACACAGACGGUGACUAAGCGAAAGCGAUAAGUUAUCCACCUGGGGAGUACGUUCGCAAGAAUGCAACUCAAAUGAAUUGACGGA